rnacentral:rRNA from 1 species
GCAGUCGAACGGAGUACCCCUGAAGGAGUUUUCGGACAACUGAUGGGACUACUUAGUGGCGGACGGGUGAGUAACGCGUGAGUAACCUGCCUUGGAGUGGGGAAUAACAGCUGGAAACAGCUGCUAAUACCGCAUAAUAUGUCUGUGUCGCAUGGCACUGGACAUCAAAGAUUUAUCGCUCUGAGAUGGACUCGCGUCUGAUUAGCUAGUUGGCGGGGUAACGGCCCACCAAGGCGACGAUCAGUAGCCGGACUGAGAGGUUGGCCGGCCACAUUGGGACUGAGACACGGCCCAGACUCCUACGGGAGGCAGCAGUGGGGAAUAUUGGGCAAUGGGCGCAAGCCUGACCCAGCAACGCCGCGUGAAGGAAGAAGGCUUUCGGGUUGUAAACUUCUUUUCUCAGGGACGAAGCAAGUGACGGUACCUGAGGAAUAAGCCACGGCUAACUACGUGCCAGCAGCCGCGGUAAUACGUAGGUGGCAAGCGUUAUCCGGAUUUACUGGGUGUAAAGGGCGUGUAGGCGGGACUGCAAGUCAGAUGUGAAAACCACGGGCUCAACCUGUGGCCUGCAUUUGAAACUGUAGUUCUUGAGUACUGGAGAGGCAGACGGAAUUCCUAGUGUAGCGGUGAAAUGCGUAGAUAUUAGGAGGAACACCAGUGGCGAAGGCGGUCUGCUGGACAGCAACUGACGCUGAGGCGCGAAAGCGUGNGGAGCAAACAGGAUUAGAUACCCUNGUAGUCCACGCUGUAAACGAUGGAUACUAGGUGUGGGGGGACUGACCCCC